CUCCCACCUCAGCCUCCUGAGUAGCUGAGACUACAGGGAGGGCAGCUGCCCAUCAUCUGGCACCUCCAGGUCGAACCUCUGCAGCAGCCAGGCCAUGAUGAGGAAGAGCUCCUGGCGGGCCAGGAUCUCACCUAUACAGGAGCGAGGUCCUGCUCCGAACGGCAAAUAGCUUACUGACGCAAACUCACCGAUGCUGCUCCAGAGUGGAAGAGGAAAAGUGGGUCUGGGACAUCGUACUCCCUUCCUUGCUCAGCCUCAUGCCCCCUCAUUCUUCCGCCGUGAGGAAAGUGCCCUUUACUCCCUCGUUCCCACUCAGUCAUCUUUUCCUCAGCUUCUGCUAGAUCAAAUCUAAAUCCAGCCCUUCUCCAGCCCUUCCCUCCUAACAGGCGCUUAUGUCUGAACACCUGUGUCUGUGGACUUUGGUGUCUGGCAGUGGAUGUGGGUGUGCGUUUGGAGCUGCGGUGCAUGUUAUGUGCGUGCUGCAGCUGGUUGGAGCAUGGAGCUCGCAGCCUUUCAUCCCGCACCACAUGUCUCUGAGGGCAGCAGGAAGCUUCUCUGGGAAGUCAGGCAGAUCUGUGGAUGAGUCAUUGCGUGUCUGUAGGUGGUAGAGACAUGGAGCCACAGGGCUGGGGGCAGGAUGAUUUUUAUUUUAUUUAAUUAAUUAAUUAUUUAUUUAUUUUGAGACAGAG